rnacentral:rRNA from 1 species
CAGUCGCCGCGGUAAUACAGAGGGUGCAAGCGUUAAUCGGAAUUACUGGGCGUAAAGCGCGCGUAGGUGGUUUGUUAAGUUGGAUGUGAAAGCCCCGGGCUCAACCUGGGAACUGCAUCCAAAACUGGCAAGCUAGAGUACGGUAGAGGGUGGUGGAAUUUCCUGUGUAGCGGUGAAAUGCGUAGAUAUAGGAAGGAACACCAGUGGCGAAGGCGACCACCUGGACUGAUACUGACACUGAGGUGCGAAAGCGUGGGGAGCAAACAGGAUUAGAUACCCCGGUAGUCCCUGUCUCUUAUAU